GUUUAAAUGGUGCAACAAAACCUAAUAUUUCUCUUUCUUUGUUAGUAGCUUUAUUUUCUUUAUAACCCACUAAGUUUUCAUUUGAAAUAAAUUAAACAGCUGAGGGUCUGAAAUAAUCUACUGAGCUUAUAAGAAGGUCUAGUCGAAAGCCAGAGGCUGAACAUCACACACAGAGAUGGUGGUGAAGAAGACUACCUUGAAGCCUGGAGUCCCCUUUCGUGCUGCAGCUCAGCUGUUUCUUGGCAUCACUUGUAGAGAAGUGGGUACAGAAACUUAACCCAACGGGCCACAGCAGCUCUCAGACUGCUCCCACAGCCACCAUCUUGUGAUCUGCACACACUGCCUAAAGGCCUGAAGAAACUUCCCUGAUCAUUUUUAAAAAGACAGAUUUCGAAGCUAUAUAUCUUGCAUGUUCUUUAAGAUGCUUGCAUUAGAUUGAUUAUGCACAUAACAUGUGCUGAUUGUAUAAAGUAAAAACCUGCUCUGAAGGUCUUUAUCAUUUACGUUGAAAGGCUAUGAGCAAAAUGAAACAAAACAGAAAUGUUUGAGCAGCUGCCCCAGAUUCCAGCUUCACAUCUCAGGUUUGGUGAGAAGAGCUGCUGGUCCUAGCUGAUGUAGGUGGAGACACUUUCAAGAGAUCCUGGCUCUGCUGUCUCCCAUAUGAGGUUCUCAGAAUGAACACAGACUUCCUUAAAGCAACAUGUCCAGGCUGACUUCAGUCCUUCAUGUAGAAGACUCUCCCUGGUCUGAGAAGAGCAACUGUAUUUGAAUUUGCAAUAAAAGAGCUUCCUAUGUAGUUUCAACGAAAAUGAACUACUGGAUUAUCCUGGAGCCAAGGCAAUUACAGGAAAGUAGGUACUGGUGACAGACAGAGAGUCUACUGGGACCCAAUCAGUAUUCUGAGUUGGUGGUGAUCAGAAAACCUGAAAGAGCAUUGGAAGGAAGAAGAAGGCCAAGUUGAACUCAUCAACUCACUUCACUCACCAAUGGAUCAGGUGCUGAAGGCUACCAGUUAAAUGUCACUUAAGGCCUCCCUGUUCUGCGAGAACAAGGGUUGUAUGAACUUGGAAGCUGGAAUGAACCUCAACAUAACCAGAACAAACCAGACACACCAAAGACUCAUUAUUACAAAUAAUCCCUUGAGGACUCUCUUCAGAGUUAAAGCACUCCAUCCUGGACCGUGCCUCCUUUGAGGAUCAAGGAGUUCCAAGUUGAAGCAUUCCUUCCAGGAAGAGGUGGGAGGAUCAUGAGGUUCAGAAAGCCAACAAAAUUCAUAAGUAUGAGAAAGCUGAAGCGAAAUCCACAAAGACUACAGAACAGUAAACAGCUCCUGGGGGAAGAGACUCUCCCACCAGUUUAAGGGUCGGUACUGCAUGUUCAUGCAGAGAAUUCUAAGGAUAUAGGCUUCAUGAGUCACCACCCCCAGUGAUGUGUGGGUUUUCAGUGACUUGGCUGACAUUGAGUCAUCUCUGCUUCUGUAAGUAACCUCUUACCUAUACUGGGAAACCCCUAAUAAACUCAUAUAUUUUCCAAGUUUGAC
rnacentral:lncRNA from 1 species